GGAGGCUGCGACUCAGUGGGAGAGCAUCUGCUUGGCAUGCAUAAAGUCUCAGGUUCAAUUCCCGGCAGCUCCA
rnacentral:tRNA from 1 species